rnacentral:rRNA from 1 species
GUUUGGGUGGGAUCUCCAGGGAGCCUGCUAUUAAUAGGAGGAAGGUGGGGGGGAAGGCAAGUAAUCUAGUCCNCCCCGAGUAGGGAGACACACGUGCUACAAUGGCGCAUACAGAGGGCGGCCAACUUGCGAAAGUGAGGGAAUCCUAAAAAAUGGGUCGUAGUCGGGAUUGGAGUAUUCAACUAGACUCCAUGAAGUAGGAAUAGCUAGUAAUCGUGGAUCAGAAUGCCACGGUGAAUACGUUCCCGGGCCUUGUACACACCGCCCGUCUCACCAUGGGAGUGGGGUGCAAAAGAAGUGGGUAGUUUAACCUUCGGGAGGACGCUCACCACUUUGUGGUUCAUGACUGGGGUGAAGUGGUAACAAGGUAACCGAAGGGGGA